UAGAGUUUGAUCCUGGCUCAGAUUGAACGCUGGCGGCAUGCUUUACACGUGCAAGUCGAACGGCAGCGCGGGGCAACCUGGCGGCGAGUGGCGAACGGGUGAGUAAUAUAUCGGAACGUGCCCUGGAGUGGGGGAUAACGCAGCGAAAGUUGCGCUAAUACCGCAUACGAUCUAAGGAUGAAAGCGGGGGAUUCGCAAGAACCUCGUGCUCCUGGAGCGGCCGAUAUCUGAUUAGCUAGUUGGUGGGGUAAAGGCCUACCAAGGCAUCGAUCAGUAGCUGGUCUGAGAGGACGACCAGCCACACUGGAACUGAGACACGGUCCAGACUCCUACGGGAGGCAGCAGUGGGGAAUUUUGGACAAUGGGCGCAAGCCUGAUCCAGCGAUGCCUCGUGAGUGAAGAAGGCCUUCGGGUUGUAAAGCUCUUUUGUCAGGGAAGAAACGGUCGUGGCUAAUAUCCAUGGCUAAUGACGGUACCUGAAGAAUAAGCACCGGCUAACUACGUGCCAGCAGCCGCGGUAAUACA
rnacentral:rRNA from 1 species